ensembl:lncRNA
GCCAGAGGAGGCCGGGAGUUGGCCGGGCCCGAGGCGGGUCUUGUCUCCGGUGGUGGAGCUGCCCCCGGGCCUGCGGUCUCGGGCCCGGCGCACACACCGUGUCCCCGGGGCGCGCGGGGAUGCUGUGUCCUCCGCGGAGCUCGGCCCAGGCGCGGCGGGCACCAGCCGGCCUGCGCCGCUCUCCCCGCCGCCACCAGCGGCUACCUGGCUCUUUCCUUGGCAAUCUCAAAGCAAAUGAUCGUAAAAGGAUAAGGUCUGGGCCAGAGAGAUGGGGCAAGGUGGGAAGCUGUGACUGCCUCGUUAGAACAGAGUGGUGUAGCCCACCUCGAAGCUUCCAACGUUUAACCGAGCUGAGACGAGCGCCUGGCAUGAGGCCCUCAAGUGGGAACAGGGAGCUCUCGAAAGAAUAUGGCCAAUUCCGAAUUUGUGAACAGCUAGGACUCCACUUAGCAAAUUGUUGGCAGUUCUGUAGAAACAAGGUUGUAAUUAGUUGAUUUGUUCAGGACUGUUCACAAAACCUAGGAAACUCAGAAUGUGCCCCUUCCAUUCAAGAAACUUGGAAUACUCAGUUCCAAAAUUUCUGAGGACAGGUGGAUAGAACUCAUCGAAUGAAUCACAUUCCUUGUUUUUGAGGGAUUCAACUUACGAAAUAAUUGGAUUAUUGCAAUGUAAAUUAAGGAUAAAAUACUAUGCCAAAAUCUCCUGGGGCAGAGAGGCAGCAGCAAGAAUGUACAUUUUAAACAAGGUUCGAGGUUAUUCUGCGGUUCACUGCAGUCUCCAAACCACUUGAGAAAGUAAAUGGACAAGAAGAGCAGAUGAGAACUCUAGUUCACAGAGUUGGCGUUUUCAUUGAACUGUACAAAUAAGUAACUAGGGGAAUAUAUAGAGUUACUCAAUUUUUUAUACUUUUAGUUGCCAAAUAAGAUCCUAAAACACCACAAACAUAGAAAUCUCUCAGUUGUCACCAUGAUUUCAUGAAAUAAAGUAGGAAGGAUAUAAUUUCAGAAUUUCAAAAAAUAUAAAUUUAGUUUUAUGAAAGACCAUAUCAUUCUUAGUUUCCUUAAACAGUGAAAACUUUGUUGCAGACAUGCGCAGACUGCUCUAUGGAUCAUUGAACAAAACAAUAUGUUUUUUCCCUAGUGUAUAUAGAGAAUGCAGGAGAUAAUGCUGGUGUGUAAGGAAAGAGGAUUAGUUCUUAAUUUUAGACGUUGAAUUUUAGGGACCUAUGAGAUAAGAAGACAGGCCAUGUAAGGUAAAAAAAAAAAAAAAAAAAAAAAAAACUACAUAACGCUUCAGUCACCUACACAUUUGUAAACCUACCAGUAUUCUCUUUUUGCAGCUUCCCAGAUUAAAUCUGUUCUGUUACCGUUGUAGAAUAUCUUCUAAAUUUUAGUAACUCACCACUGUAAUGAGCCAUUGUGGGUUUCCUAAAGAGCAUUGAUGCUGGUUCUGUGAGAAGGCGUCCAUGCCCUCCUCUUUACACGUGAGCGAACCCCGAAGUACUCUCUUUUGCCUUGAUAAAUUAAUGAAUUGAUAUAAAAUACUAUGAAAAGCAGGUAAAACUGACUAAGCAGAAGAGCCAGUAAAAUUGUCAGACCGUUAGUUAUAUUUUAACAGUAACUAAUCUGAGUAUACAUGUAUCCUUCCCAAAGACAGAAUUCGUUAAUACCACUCUGAGUCAGGUAUUACUAGAAAGGAAGGAAGACAGGAAAUGAAAAAUAAAACGUGGGGGGGAGUAGAAAAAAUUGAUCCAACAAAAAGCUGUCAAUAACAAUCAUGAAGGUUAUCUGUGCAUAGCAAUGAAUAUUCACCUCAUGGUUAAAGGAGAUUCCACCCAUCUUCCUGAGUAGGAGGCAGAGACAAUGGAUGUGAUUGCUAAUUGAAAGAUUUGGGACAAAAAACUCUAAAGCUGAAGAUUAUUCUUUGACUAAGGUUAUGAAGUUUGGAGUAGAAGAGCAGAAAAAUGCAAACUUUCAUUACUUCUAGGUAAAAACUACCAAAAAAAAUGAUAUGGAAGCUUAAGUGCAUAAAAAGAGAAACUGUUUAUGAAGAGGCACUAAAUAAACAAACGUAGAAACAUUCAGAAAGAAGAUGGGGUAUUUCAGACACUACUUGGUAGGACAAGCUGCCACCUGAUGUUUCACAUGAGGAUCCUGAGCACUGAGAAAUGCAGAGAAGAAAGACAGAUGACCCUGAGCACCAUGUUCUUCAACUAGGCGGAGUUAACCUGAAAAUGCCUCAGGAUGUUUAACCUCUGUAAUUUAUUUUAAAAUACUAUAUUUAUUUUAGUUGCUAUUCCAUUAGAUGUUCAAAUCAUUUUCACCUAUCCCAAACAUAUUGUGCAGUGACUCAUCAGACAUCUGUGGCAAGUAAAUAUACACAGUGUAUUUUUAGAGUAGCGAAUAUGUGUGUAUGCAUUUAUAGUAUGAGCAAAAUUAAACCUGAUCUGAAAAAAAGUGAAUUUUUCAGCCCUGACCACUACUGUGCCAUUUCAUCUUUAGAACCUACAUUUCCGUGGUAUAAUUUUCAGAUCAUUUCCCACCUUUAAAUGCCAGAAUUAAUGGGAAAUUGUCUUUUUUCUGUGUACUGCUUUGCUGGAGAGGCCCUUCUGCAAUGAACGUUGAAUGCUGUUAAGCCCUAUUUAUGGCUUUAAUAGCUUUGUAUUAAUGAAAAAAUCAGAUACCCUUUAUAUACCCACCUCAGGGGUUCAUGCAGGAGAUGUUCUAUUGAUGUGAAAGAGUCAAAUUGAUUUCUGCCAAAGAUGAGAAAGUAGUAGAAAGGCUCAAACUGCAUGUGGAUAAUGAAAUGGCUUGUUUUAUCACAAAUAUUCUCUGCACAUGUGUUCCACUUCUUUCGUCUAAUGGCUGACCCCUGCUUUUCCUAAAGCUCAAAUUUUGGUGUCUAAACUGUUAUGUGUGUCAACAGAAAGAGGCAAUGAAGAGGAUCUCAGAACAUUUUAGUGAGAAGAGAGCAAAAUGUAGAAAUAUCAUUUCUGCAUUUUGAUUUAUGUGUUCAAGGUUAUUUGGAUAAUUGGAAAGUUUGCUUUUCAGAUGAGUUAGACUUCCUGGAACAAUUAAUCAGGGUCUUAAUUACUGCAUCUGUAAAAAUGAGGUAAGAUGUGCGAGGCUAAGAACCUUCUAGCAUGGAACUGUAGUUUUUUUCCUCUUCCCUUUAAAGUAUCAGGAAUUUCCAAGCCAUCAACAUUUGCUGAAUCUGGCCAUGCAUAGUCUUCAAAAAUAGUGAAUGUUUCAUUUAUUUUCAAAAUACUUUCCAUUUCAGUAGGUUUCCGUGAAGUGAAAACAUUUACCAUAAUGGAUGAAUUUCAUCAGGGAGCUGCUUUAACAGCGUCCUAAAUGAAUAGAGUAAAAGCAUUGCAAAGAUACAGUCAAAAAGAAGUAAGCUUCUUUUUUAAAAAUGUGCUAAAUUUUAAAGCCUGGCCUUAUGCUGCAAAUUGGACAGUAUCCCAGGUAUUUUGUUAAGAGUGAAUACUGUAGAGAAGUCAGAGACAAAAGAUAGAAUCUGGAGUAGAGUCAGCUGGACUAGACCCAGCUAGACUAGAUACCGUGGUAAAAGCAAGACCACCUUGGCCG